GGAUCAAUAUAUCGGUCGUGCCUUGGUACGUACUGGUAUCAUUGGUUUCUCCUUUCUGACGAACCAUGAUGUCAUUAAUUUGGUGUUAUGGGAAGUUAGGACUGUUACUUUGAAAAAAUUAGAGUGUUUAAAGCAGACUAUCGUCUGAAUACAUUAGCAUGGAAUAAUGAAAUAGGACGGACUGAUUCUAUUUCGUUGGUUUCUAGGAUCACCGUA
rnacentral:rRNA from 1 species